rnacentral:tRNA from 1 species
UUCUAGGUAGUUUAAUGGUAAAGCACCCAACUGGUAAUUGGGGGAUCUGGGUUCAAGUACCGGCCCAGGCU